rnacentral:rRNA from 1 species
AACGCGAAGAACCUUACCUGGGCUUGACAUCCACAGAAUCUUAUCGAAAGGUGAGAGUGCUCGCAAGAGAGCUGUGAGACAGGUGGUGCACGGUUGUCGUCAGCUCGUGUCGUGAGAUGUUGGGUUAAGUCCCGCAACGAGCGCAACCCACGUGGUUAGUUGUUACAGAUCGUAGGAUGCUGAACCCUCUAGCCAGACUGCCGGUGACAAGCCGGAGGAAGGUGUGGACGACGUCAAAUCAUCAUGCCCCUUAUGUCCAGGGCUACACACGUGUUACAAUGGGAUGGGACAGAAAGUAGCUGAAUCGCGAGGUUUGGCCAAUCUAUAAACCCACCCUCAGUUCGGAUCGCAGUCUGCAACUCGACUGCGUGAAGUUGGAAUCGCUAGUAAAUGCGGAUCAGCACGCCGCAUUGAAUACGUUCCCGGGUCUUGUACACACCG